GUAUACUGUACAGUUGUCCUGGGAGAGCUGUUCUGCCUUGAUGCCUUGCUGUAGACUGAUGUACAUUCCUGCCCAUCACACAUGGAGUUCCUGUGAGCCAGAAACAAAUAAGCACACAGAGAGGCUUCAUCUUUCUUUCUCCGGUGAUGC